UACAGGGGGUGCAAGCGUUGCUCGGAAUUACUGGGCGUAAAGCGUGCGCAGGCGGACGAUUAAGUCGGAUGUGAAAUCCCGGGGCUCAACCCCGGAACUGCAUUCGAAACUGAUCGUCUUGAGUGCGGCAGAGGUGAGUGGAAUUCCUGGUGUAGAGGUGAAAUUCGUAGAUAUCAGGAGGAACACCGGUGGCGAAAGCGGCUCACUGGGCCGACACUGACGCUCAUGCACGAAAGCGUGGGGAGCAAACAGG
rnacentral:rRNA from 1 species